UUAAAAAGAACAUAUAAAUUUGUUACUGAUCAUAAUAAAAAAUCAGGAAAUAAUAGGAGGAAAUGGGAAUAUUAUGAGGUUAUGCAUGAGAUAUUUGGAACAAAACCUUGGGUUGAACCAAUAGCAACAGCUGGAAGUAGCGUUAAUACUUCUGCUAAUAUUAAUGAUACUACAAAUAAUACAGAGAACAAUGACGCAAUAAAAUCAGUGCCAAAGAAACGAAAAAUUCAAAACGCAGUAGAAGAUUAUUUAGAAAAAUCUUUAGAAAUGAAAGCAGAAAAAGAGAUAAAUGCUAAAAAAAGACAUGAAGAAAAAAUGACUCGUCUAACAAGUAUUGAAAAUUUA